rnacentral:rRNA from 1 species
UAGCCUUGACAUAAUUAAGAAUACUUUAGAGAUAGAGUAGUGCCUUCGGGAGCUUUUUUACAGGUGCUGCACGGCCGUCGUCAGCUCGUGUCGUGAGAUGUUGGGUUAAGUCCCGUAACGAGCGCAACCCCUAUCCUUAGUUGCCAGCACGUAAUGGUGGGAACUCUAGGGAGACUGCCGGUGACAAACCGGAGGAAGGUGGGGAUGACGUCAAGUCAUCAUGGCCCUUAUGGGCUGGGCUACACACGUGCUACAAUGGCCGGUACAGAGGGUUGCCAACCCGCGAGGGGGAGCUAAUCCCAGAAAGCCGGUCGUAGUCCGGAUUGGAGUCUGCAACUCGACUCCAUGAAGU